rnacentral:siRNA from 1 species
AGGAUGACUUGCCUGAUCUUUU